UUUUAGUGGCUCAGGAUAUUUACCCCACCAGGAACUGGGAUUCUGGCUUGCAAAAGCCAAUUCAGGCUUGCAGCCUGCUAUCACUCCUCAUCUCUGCCCUUCAGAGCACUUUCAUCAUAUCCCAAAAUCUUAUUCCUGGCCACAGUUGGCUACAGACAUCAACUGGUCAGAGAAAUCUUAAUUUUCCCAGCUUUCUGCUCCUUUGAGGUUACCUGACCACCUUUUCAGUGAAGGAAUUUUUCUUAAUAUCCAAUGCAAACCUCCCCUGGUACAGCUCGAGGCCGUUUCCUGUGGUCCUGGAUAUGUGCUGACAUGUGCUGCUGCAUCAACCACCAUGGCAUUGCUAAAUCUUGGUGCCGAGAACUCUGUGUGCUUUCUCACCUGUUUUCUCCAGAGUGUUUAGGUGGUGACACCCACUAUGUCCCUUCAGUGCCCAGUGCAGGCUCCAGGUGCAGCAUUGAGUGGCUUGUGGCUUCUUCCUUCUCCCCCAGUUCCUGGUGAGGUAAAGAUCCAUGCAGGCAUUCACAGGGAGGGCAGAGAGGACCAACACAGAAGCCAGUGCUGGAAACAACAACCUAUUUUUAUACUUCCUUCUCUCAAGGCACCGCCCUUCGCCUCUGCCCUGCUCAGGAGCAGCAGCAAAAAUGGGCAGGCAGCUUUUGGCUGCUGAUGUCUUCACCUCUGGGAAUGCCUGUUUGUGUUUUCUUAUCCCAUUUUACACUCAGGAAAUUUAGCACUAACGACUGCAUUUUUCGCCUGCCUGCAGAUCAGCAGUGAAGCCAUGAAACAAAACCACUUUCCUCAGUUCCACCUCUGUGCACCAAAGUGGUUGUGUCCCACCAGGAUGCUGGGAAAAUCACUGCUGGACACAGUCCUGUGCUGUGUGCUCUGGGAUGAUCCUGCCUGAGCUGGGAGCUUGGAACGGGUGACCCAUUGUGUUCCCUUCCAACCUGACCCCCGAAAUGUGGCAGGGGACAAGAGUGGGGUGGAAGGCACAGCGUGUUCCCAGGCUCCUCAUCCUGCUCAAUGGCAGACCCAGCUCCAGCAUGGAGUUCCCUGCCACUCUGGAAUGAAAGGGGCUCCCUCCCCAACCAGCCCUGGCCUUGCUGAGCCGAGCCACUAUGAUUCAGCUGCUGGUGCUUAUAAAACAUCACAGUUUUCCAAGUAAUUCAAAACUUGGUGUGGGUUUGUUUUCUUUUUUGUUUUAUUGGUUGGGUUUUCUUGGCUUGGUUCGUUUUCUGUAAACCCACUUUAAUAAAUGAAUGGCUCUUUAACAAUAUUUUUUUUCAUCAAAGUCCAGGGAAAUUGGAAAUAUUGGGCAGUCACUCAAUAGAAGUGAGCAUGGCGCAUUUCAAACACCACAAGUCAAAAGCAGCUUCACGGUUUCCACACUCUGACAGUGAUUUUCCACUUCAGGGAUACAUGAUUUGCAAACUGGUCUUGCUCUUUGGGGUCCCCCUGUGUGCUGGUCCUGGUGCACAGCUCCACAAGGAUUUGGAUGGAUUCUCCGUCCCACACCCACCGUACUGGAGACACACCCUGCAGCCAGCAUGCCAGUUCAUACAGACCUACUUUUGGAGUCCUUAACCUCACCUGAGGAUGUGGUGGAUGCACUGCCAGACCCAGCACCUCCUCCACCAUUCUGCGCCACCAACCCAACAGAAGCUGCAUCCCUGAAAAGCCCUGGCAGCGGAUCCAAGCUUAGGAGUUUCUCCCUGCUGUCGCCAUAUGAUCCUCAGCCCUCAGCGGGGCAGCUGCCAAGCCUGGGGAACCUGUUUCCAAAUCCAUGCUGCAAAAAGAAGGAGGGAGGAUGUUGAACCCAUUCCUUGCCGAGUGGCAGGCUGGCAGUCCUGUGGAAGGACAGUGGCAUUGUCACCUUGUCACCGGGGUGGUGGCUGCUGCUGUCGGACAACUGGGGAGCGUAGCUGCCUAAUCAAAGAUUCAGCUGAUUCACAAAUGGUCUGUAACGGGAAUUUCUAAGGCCAGCACACGCUUCAAGGCAGUUUGGCAGCUCCUCUUGCAAUAACCUGCUUGUGUAGAGCCCUGAGCAAUGCCGAGGUGUGUCCUCAUGCCUACACAGUGUCCUGAGAUGGGUCUACAGGCAGGAUGGUGAUGCCAGACUGGCCGCGAGCAAACAGAUCAGGUGACAGCCAAGCCCUGCCUGAUGUCAUCCAAGGGAAGAGCUGGAUCAGGGCAGCCUCAAAACUGAGAGGCCCUCAUUGGGCUGGGAACACAUGUCCAUCCACAGGGAACUCCAUCCUGAGGGUUGGAGCAAGAAUGACAUCCAAUGCAAUUUCACAUGAGUACCAAUGGUCCUGGUCUUUCUACCCCACCUGCAGGGACCCCACUGCAGUACAGGGCAGAGGAAGGACUCUGGCUCCCCCUCAUCGUCUCGCAACCCCAGGGUGGGCAGCCACAGGCAUGGGACUGUAUGGUGCCAUCCAUGGCAAAAUGUGCCCCUGGGGUCACACUGGGCAGGCAGCACCAGACACCAAAAUGAACAACUGUCUUGGGGACAGUCUGAGCACUGCCCAGCAACAGGUCAUGAACCAACCUGCUCAGUGGUUCCAUACAAGGCCAAUUUCUAAACCAUGAGCAUCCAGAGAGGUUCUGGUCAUAGCAGAUGAGUUCCAAUGUAGGGUGGUUGUUACUGCUCAGCUGCAAGGCCCUGGCACCAAGACAGACCAAGCUGACCUUUUGUGGAAUUGUGACAAGGAGCGGUCAAAAAAAUAAAAAAAGUAAAGUUAACAUUGGCAAUCAGGGGGAGGAAAAACUGGAAGCAAGACCCAGCAAGUGCUAUUCAAGUACAAGAACAUUUCCGGCUCAAAAAUCCCAAGACAUCUGAGAAGUUAGAAAAAUGCAUGGAAAAGGAUUGCUUGAAUUGGUUCACCACUUCUGUUUAUACUUGUCACCACUAGCAACAGCAUCCAGAACUCACCCCAGGUGUCUGCAACAUCCACUGUUUGUCUGAUGCACCUGCAUUGCACACUGAGCAAUGAUGAGCAUCCCAGUGUUCUCUUGGAGCUCACCACCAUUAGGCAUUGUGGGCACAGCACCCCUGAAAGUAGCACGAGCUCUACCUUUACACAGAGGGCCUAAAGGUGGGUGGAGAAACAUCAACAGAGUUGUAAGAGUUAAGUGUCUUCCCACAGUAACACCUCCUGCUCCUAAAGCAAAGGGAGGCAGGCAGGGGUUGUUUUGCCAGUGAAGUGGAAGGUGUUUAGAUGAACCAUCACAUUGGUGAGCAGUGAUUACAUGUACCCAGGACAGCUGUUAAGUGUAUCUAAAACAGCUGUAAACACAGCCAGGUGCCCUCUGCCCAGAGCACCAACACUGCUUCCAGCCUGGAGCCUCCAACACAGCUCCAGGCCGUGGCACCAGGGAUGUGGAUGUGGAUGUGCUUGCAGCCCUCGCAGCUGGUGGCACUGAUGCCCCCUGGCCCUGUCCCACAGCAGGGCUCUGAGCAGCCCCCUCCCUCCCUGCUGAGCCUGUGGAGAGCAGGGGACCAGGAUCAGCAGCAUCCCCCAGGGAAGCGACUCGUCUUGCCUGUCCCCUUCCAUGGGUUGGCUUCUGUCCAUCAACGCCUCAAACAGUUCCUGCUAAAGCAGGACAAAGCACACUUUAAAUACAGAUCAAGUGUUCAGCUGAGAGUCUGUCCAUGUCUGUCCAUCCCCCACCCCCACCCCCGGGCUGGCCGAGCUGGAACAAAGAGGUGCCUGCCCCGGGGUGAUUAUCUCUUCCUUCAUCUCCUUCACUUGGGAGGAUAUCCUCAUAUCAUCUGCUUUUACCUGCUCCGGGCCUGACAUUUGUUCCCUUUCUAGCACCUUCCUGUUUGGGACAUUUCUUUGUCUAAGCUUCCUCUCCUACUUGAGUUGCUAAAACCAAGUCCAGGGAGCAUCAGGCAAACAAUGUAUUGCACACCACACAGCAAACUGCAUCCUACCCACUCCUUGAGCAGACAGAGCAGCAGCAACUCCCCUGGUCAUGGCUUACUCAGUCUCAAAGAGAACCUGCACUGCAUUCAACCACAGAAAUUCUCAAUUCAGGAACAUUGAGCAUGGAUCCAGACUCCACUCCUCACUGCCCAGCAUCAGGGACAACUGUGGCUCCCCAGAUAUUUGGGGAUGACGAGCCACAAGGAGCAGACACAGCAGACUUGUAUGGUUCAUGUACAAAUCACACUGAGUUCAAACAAGGUCACCAACACACCCCAUCUGGCACAGAACAUCAACCGUUAAAGCAGACAGAAACCCUUAGAUAAUAUUUUAUGCAUCCUACUUGUGCAGUCUGGAAAAUCUCAGAGAAUUCAGAUGCAAAGGUCUAAAUCUUAAAAACACUGAUGGCAAGGCACUGUGUUUUCUUUGCACUAUUUAAAUAUGUUUGCACAUAUUUAACUUAUUUCGUAAGGAAAAUUGAAUUGGUUAAGGAAAAAAAAAAAAAAA
ensembl:lncRNA